rnacentral:piRNA from 1 species
AAGGACUGGGGCAAAGGCAGAGU